rnacentral:misc_RNA from 1 species
GAAUUGCGAUAUGUAAUGUGAAUUGCAGAAUUCAGUGAAUCAUCGAAUCUUUGAACGCACAUUGCACCCUCUGGUAUUCUGGAGGGUAUGCCUGUUUGAGUGUCAUUAAUACAAUCAAACACAGACUUUUUUGUUCUGUGUCUUGGACUUUGAAGGGCUUUGCUGAUUGUUAAAGUCAGCUCCUUUUAAAUGCAUUAGCAGUGAUGUGAACUCACAUUAGAGCUGGCCUCGGUUUGAUAGACCACUUGAUCAUCUAUGCCGUCGCUGGUAAAGGGGUUUGACUGCUUCGAAUUGUCCUUUUGGACUGCCCCUAGGGCAAUAACUUUUAAGCCUUGACCUCAAAUCAGGUAGGACUACCCGCUGAACUUAA